rnacentral:rRNA from 1 species
GACGAACGCUGGCGGCGUGCUUAACACAUGCAAGUCGAGCGAUGAAAUCCCUUCGGGGAUGGAUUAGCGGCGGACGGGUGAGUAACACGUGGGCAACCUGCCUCAAAGUGGGGGAUAGCCUUCCGAAAGGAAGAUUAAUACCGCAUAACAUUAGUUUUUCACAUGAAUUACUAAUUAAAGGAGUAAUCCGCUUUGAGAUGGGCCCGCGGCGCAUUAGCUAGUUGGUGAGGUAACGGCUCACCAAGGCCACGAUGCGUAGCCGACCUGAGAGGGUGAUCGGCCACAUUGGAACUGAGACACGGUCCAGACUCCUACGGGAGGCAGCAGUGGGGAAUAUUGCACAAUGGGCGAAAGCCUGAUGCAGCAACGCCGCGUGAGUGAUGAAGGCCUUCGGGUUGUAAAGCUCUGUCUUUGGGGACGAUAAUGACGGUACCCAAGGAGGAAGCCACGGCUAACUACGUGCCAGCCGCCGCGGUAAUAC